rnacentral:rRNA from 1 species
CCUACGGGCGGCAGCAGUGGGGAAUAUUGGGCAAUGGGCGCAAGCCUGACCCAGCAACGCCGCGUGAAGGAUGAAGGCUUUCGGGUUGUAAACUUCUUUUAAGAGGGAAGAGAAGAAGACGGUACCUCUUGAAUAAGCCAUGGCUAACUACGUGCCAGCAGCCGCGGUAAUACGUAGGGCGCAAGCGUUGUCCGGAUUUACUGGGUGUAAAGGGCGUGUAGGCGGGCUGACAAGUCAGAUGUGAAAUCCGGGGGCUCAACCCCCGAACUGCCUUUGAAACUGUUGGUCUUGAGUAUCUGAGAGGCAGGCGGAAUGCCUGGUGUAGCGGUGAAAUGCAUAGAUAUUAGGAAGAACACCAGUGGCGAAGGCGGCCUGCUGGACCACAACUGACGCUGAGGCGCGAAAGCGUGGGGAGCAAACAGGAUUAGAUACCCUAGUAGUC